GUGAGAUUCUGGGGGAGGUUGUUCUUCCUAAGUAAAAAGGACUCAUAAAGGUAUCACCUCACACCGGUCAGAAUGAUUACUCUUAAAACAUCAAAAAAAAUAGCAGAUGCUGGUGAGGUCUCAGAGUAAAGGGAACACUGGUUUAUGAUGGGAAUAUAAGUUAUUUCAGCCACUGUGGAAAGCAAUCUGGAGAUUUCUCAAAGAAGUUAAAACAGAACUACCAUUUGACCAAGCCAUUCCUUUGCUGGGUAUAUAUCAGAAGAAAGAUAAAUCAUUCUACCAUAAAGAUGCAUGUAUAUGUUUAUUGCAGCACUGUUCACAAUAGCAGAGACAUGAAAUCAACCUAGAUGACCAUGAACGGUGGACUAGAUAAAAAAAAAAUGUGGUACAUAUACACUGUGGAAUAUUAGGCAGCCAUAAUAAAGAAUAAAAUCAUGUGUUUUGCAGCAACAUGGAUGGAGCUAGAGACCACUAUCCUAAGCAAAUUAAUACAGGAACAGAAAACCAAACACUGCAUGUUCUUACUUCUAAGUGGGAGCUAAACAUUGAGUACAUGGACACUAAGAAGGGAACAAGAGACACGGGGCCUACUUGGGGCUGAAGAGUGUGAGGAGAGUGAGGAUCAAAAAACUACCUAUCAGUUACUAUGCUUAUUACCUAGGUGACGAAAUAAUCUGUAUACAAAACCCCUGUGACAUGCAAUUUACCCAUGUCACAAACCUGCACAUGUACCCUCUGAACCUAAAACAAAGUUGGAAAGGGAAAAAAAGGGUCUUAUGGGAAACCCUUUCUUUUUCUUUGCUGACAUUUUAUGUCUCCUUCUGAUGCUUGGAAUUGCUGUGGACACUGUGAAACCAAGACUGAGAUCCUCUGGAUGUGCUGAGGUAGCAAGGCGGACAGAUGAGAAGCAGGCAGCUGCCAGCUCCACGAAAUGAAUUGGGGAAUGUUAGCUCCAGUUCGUUUACCGGAAGCAUUUGUGUAAUCUUGGAAGUAUUUCUUCCUUAAAUAUUUAGAACUGCCGGGGAGCAAGCUUGGGCCUGGAGGGAUUGAUCGAUUGAUAGCAGUCAUUUCUCACUCUUGAUUAUUAUGAGUAACUCUGGACUUGCCCUGCCUCUGGCCCGUUAUUUAUGAGAAGACAACCCCUCAGUGUCAGCUUUUCAGUUACUAGGAGCUGAAGACAUCCCAGGACCGAUUGCUCUGCUAAAUCUCUGUGACUCUGUGCCAGACUGUUUCCAAAGGUACCUGUGACACUGUCUCCUACUUACCUGCUCUUGUGCAAUGUCACCUCACUUCUCUCCCAUCAAGAGGUGGAGUCUGAUUCUCCUCCCUUGAAUCAGGGCUGGCCUUAGUGACCUGUUGAUAAGCACAGAAUGUGGAGGAAGUGAAGUCGUGAGAUUUCUAAGUCAAGGUCAAAAGAAGUCUUACACUUCAUCCUUCUACUCUCCGAAUGUUUGUCCUCUGGAUUGUCCCUCUGAAUUCAGCUACCAUGCUGACAAAAACGCAUGCCAUACGGGAGAUCUGCAUGUAGGUACUGGGUCUCCAGGCUUAUCUGAGCCCAGCCUUCGAGUCGUCCCAGCCCACGAGUCAAAAAUAUGAGUGGAGAAGCCUCCAGAUGACUCCAGCUGCCAGCCAUGUAGAAUCUUUUUUGUGUGAGGUCGCAGGUCUGACAGAAGAGAGCUAAGCCAUCCCUGCUAUGCUUCUACUAAUUCCUGACUCAUUGAAUUUGUGUUUUUCUUUGUUUUGUUUUUUACUUUUGAGUCUUUUUUUUUUUUAGAGACAAGGGUCUCACUGUCUCCCAAGCUAGAAUGUAGGGUGUGCUCAUAGCUCACGAUAACCUUGAACUUCUGGACUCAAGUGAUUCUCUUGCCUCAGCCUCCUGAGUAGCUGAGACAACAUGUAUGUGCCAGCACACCCAGUUAAUUUAAUAUAUAUAUAUAUAUAAAAUAGAAAUGGAAUCUUGCUAUGUUGUCCAGGCUGGUCUUGAACUCCUGUCCUCAAGUAAUCCUCCUGCCUCAGCAUUCCAGAGUCCUAGGAUUACAACCAUGAGUCACUAUGCUGGCCUAAGUAAUAUGUAAUGGAAGAAGAUGGAAGAAAGAAAGAGAGGAAAGAGGGAAGAUGAGUAUUGUCUGUAGCAGUUUUAUAUAUAUUGACUUUGUAACCAAAAAUCUUGCUAAAUUUUCGUGUUUAUUUUAAUAAUUUUUCUUUUUUUUUUUUUUUUUGAGAUGGAGUUUCGCUCUUGUUACCCAGGCUGGAGUGCAAUGGCGCGAUCUCGGCUCACCGCAACCUCCGCCUCCUGGGUUCAGGCAGUUCUUCUGCCUCAGCCUCCUGAGUAGCUGGGAUUACAGGCACGCGCCACCAUGCCCAGCUAAUUUUUUGUAUCUUUAGUAGAGACGGGGUUUCACCAUGUUGACCAGGAUGGUCUCGAUCUCUUGACCUCGUGAUCACCCACCUCAGCCUCCCUAAGUGCUGGGAUUACAGGCUUGAGCCACCGCGCCCGGCCUAUUUUAAUAAUUUUUCUAUAGACUCUUAGGUGCUUUCUAUGUAAACAGUUAUACAAUUGAGAAUAAUUAUCUUUUUGUCAUUUGAUUUUUCAUAACCAUGUAAUCAUUCAUUUUUGUUUACUGUGUGGGUUGUGCUUCAAGUACAAUGUGAAGAAAAGUGGUGACAGCAAGCAUCCUGAUCUUAUGUCUGAUCUUACAGGAGAUUAAUAUAAUUUUUCAAUAUAAUGCAUAAUGCUUGCUGUCAGCCUACUUUUUGGCUAAGAGACUUUAAAAUAAUCAUGAAUGGAUUUUUAAUUUUAUCAAACGUGGGGCUUAAUGCACCUAAUGGGAGGUCAUAUGAUUUUUCCUUCAUACUCUGUUGCCCAGGCUGGAGUGCAGUAGUGCAAUCAUAGUUCAUUCCAGCCUCAAACUCCUGGGCUCAAGGGAUCCUCCUGCCUUCACCUUCUGAGUAGCUGGGACCACAGGCAUGCACAACCAUGUCCAGCUAAAAACUUUUUUGUAGAUACAGGGGUCUUGCUAUGUUGCCCAGGCUGAUCUCAAACUCCUGGCCUUAAGUGAUUCUCCUGUUUCAGUCCCUUAAAGUCUUGGGAUUGCAGGUGUGAGCCACUACACCUGGUCUGCUUAGGCUAUUGCAAAUCUAUACUCAUCAGUGAGGUGAUCUGUACUUCUCUUUUCGUCUUAUACUCUUCUUGUUGCAUUUUGCUGUCGGGGUUAGGCUAGCUUCACGAAAUGAAUUGGGGAAUGUUGGCCCCAUUUUGUUUACUGGAAGCAUUUGUGUAAUCUUGGAAGUAUUUCUUCCUCAAAUAUUUAGAACUUCCAGGGGAGCAAGCUUGAGCUUGGAGAGAUUGAUUGAUAUCAAUGAUUUCUUAUUCUUAAUUAUUAUGAGGCUAUUUGGGUUUUCUCUUUCUUUUUAGUCAGAUAUAGUAAGACGUUUAUUUAGGGUCUUGCCCAUUUUCAUUUAAGCAACCAAAAAAUUUUUUGGAAUGAAGACAAUAUGUAUCUUAUUGUUCUCCUACAUUUUAAUGCUUUAUUAAUUAAUUAAUUUAUUUAUUUAUUGAGACAGAGCCUUGACCUCCUGUGCUCAAGCAAUCCUCCCACCUCAGCCUCCUGAGUAGCUGGGACCACAGAUACAUGCCACCAUGCAUGGCUAAUUUUUGUAUUUUUUGUAGAGACUCAGUUUUGCCAUGUUUCCCAGGUUGGUCUCGAAUUCCCGUACUCAAGCAAUCCAUCCGCCUUGGCCUCCCAAACAACUGGGAUAACAGGUGUGAGCUACUGUGCCUGGCCUAAUGCUAUAUUUUAACCCCACUGAAAACACUGUAUUAUUAUUACUGUCCAUUUUCACUGCAUUUUGAAAUAUCACUUAUUGUAUUUUUUAUGACUAGAAGACACACUUUGCCUAUUUUUUAUGGCUCUUGUGCUUGGCUCAUACUUUCAGUUCUGCUAUUUGUAGAAACAUAUUUAAAUAUGCUUGAUUUAUGUUUUACGUUUCUAAAUUUUCAUAUCUUCCACUUUUGAGGGUCUGAUAAGUGCUGGCUCUCAUUCAUAUGUCAUUUCUUUUUCUAGCGGGGGACAGGGAAGGUCUUCCUCUGUCACCCAGGCUGCAGUACAGUGGGGUGAUUGCAGCUCACUGCAUCCUUGAUCUCCUGGGAUCAGCCCAUGAAAACCCUAGACUCAGCCGGACUCUGGCAGAGGUUGAAAUGACCUGCCUGCAGAAAGGAGCUACCCACUGUGGGUCUCCUCUCAGCUGAGAGCUGAACAGGUAUCAGGAUGACCUGCCUGCAGAAAGGAGCUACCCUCUGCAAGUCUUCUGAGAGCUCUACUGUUGUUCAAUAAAGCACCUUUUUGCCUUACUCACUCUCCAGUUGUCUGCAUACCUCAUUCUUCCUGGAUGUGGGACAAGAACUCGGGACCCACCAAAUGGUGGGACUGAAAAAGCUGUAACACAAACAGGACUGAAACACACCUCUCACUCACCACGUUGCAGGCAGCAAGAAGAAGAGAAGAGCUGCAGCUCUUUGAGGACCCUAGGAGCUUCCUGAGGAGACUCCAGACCCAAGGAGCUUCCUGAGCCAAGGUUGUGGUACCCUCUUUGGGGCUCUGAGGUUCCUGGUGUCUCCAAGUUUCCAGGUGCCACUGUGUUCUCCUGUGCCAGCAGUGGAAGUCCCUGUGGUAUACCUGGUUCAGGUGUGGCCUUACAGGGAGCUGGCACCCUUGCUGGUGCCUAGAGCUGCCCACACCACUGCAGCUGGCAUGCCUAGCUGUGUGUAGUGGCCGGGCCCCAUGCUCACUCAUGCACCCCUUGUUGCUCUGUGCCUGGCUCGUGCUUGGCACGCAUGGGAUCCAGGCUGGUAGCAUGAGCCAAGCACAGCCUUCCAGGCCAAACAGGUGGAAUGAGCCCAGGAGGCCCAAGCAAAACUCAGGCGAAAGCACCACUGACCACAGAGGUUUCUGGCUGGCAAAGCAACACCCCAGGGAUCCCAUGAUGGCAUUGGUGGCACAUGCUUGUAGUCCUAGCUACUGAGGAGGCUGAGGUAGGAGGACUCUUUGAACCCAGGAGUCUGAGGUUAGCAGUGAGGGAUGAUCAUGCCACUGUACUCCAUCCUGAGGGACGGCAUGACCCCGUCUCUAAAAGAAAGAAAAGAUGUGUUUAAUCUGUCUUAUCCAAAAUUCUUGUUUACAAUGAGAGAAUAAAUCAGAAUUUUGUAGUUUUUAAAAACAUGCUUUUGGACAGGCAUGGUGGCUCAUGCGUGCAAUCCUAGCACUGUGGGAGGCAGAAGUGGGUGGAUUGCUUGAGCUCAGGAGUUUGAGACAAGCCUGGGUAACAUGGUGAGACCCUGCCUCAAAAAAUACAAAACGAUUAGCUGGGCAUGGUGGCCUGCACCUAUGGUCCCAGCUACUCGGGAGGCUGAGCAGGGAGUAUUGCUUGAGCCUGGGAAGUUAAGGCUGCAGUGAGCUGUGAUCACACCACUGCACGCCAGCCUGGGUGACAGAGUGAGACCCUGUCUCAAAAUAAACUAACAAACAAAAAAAUAAAACAAAAUUUAAAAACACAUGCUUUCUAGUUCUUUGUGUCUUCCACAACUUCUGGGAUAUUGAUCUAUUUCUAAUGUCUAAAUAAAGCUGAAUAAUGAAUAUCACUCUUUGUCCAUAUGUCUUAUAUUUCUAGGUAUAGAAAGUCAUGAAAGGAUUACAGUCUUCAUAUUCAUCAGUUUUUCAUAAAUAUAUGUUGGUUAAAUAUGCUUAAUUGUGGUUAGUUGACUUAUGAAAAAAUUCUUUAUAUGAAAUUAAAGUCAUUGUUGGAAUCCUU